ACUGCUCGAAAUUUUGCAUACCUCUUCGUGGUGGGCAGUAGGCAACGCAAAUAAGUAGUGCGGCUAAAAGGCAAAA
rnacentral:ribozyme from 1 species